rnacentral:rRNA from 1 species
CCUACGGGGGGCAGCAGUGAGGAAUAUUGGUCAAUGGACGCAAGUCUGAACCAGCCAUGCCGCGUGCAGGAUGACUGCUCUAUGAGUUGUAAACUUCUUUUGUACGAGGGUAAACGCCGACACGCGUACCUUUCUGCAAGUAUUGUAUGAAUAAGGAUCGGCUAACUCCGUGCCAGCAGCCGCGGUAAUACGGAGGAUUCAAGCGUUAUCCGGAUUUAUUGGGUUUAAAGGGUGCGUAGUUGGUUUGAUAAGUUAGUGGUGAAAUCGUGAGGCUCAACGGUGAAAUUGCCUCUGAUACUGGUAGGCUAGAGAGUAGUUGAGGUAGGCGGAAUGUGUGGUGUAGCGGUGAAAUGCUUAGAGAUCAUGCAGAACCCCGAUUGCGAAGGCAGCUUACCAAGCUGCGACUGACAUUGAGGCACGAAAGUGUGGGGAGCAAACAGGAUUAGAUACCCGAGUAGUC